rnacentral:lncRNA from 1 species
UGGGGGCCACGCCUUAACAACGCGUGAGGAACGCUGGGAAGAUGCCUGGGAAUCGGCUCCUGAUUCACUUGGAAAUUCACCAGGGAUUAGCAACCCACUCUCCACCAAAUUUCAAGUCACUAGGGGCAUUAUGCUAUGUCCCAGGAGUGGCCAAGGCUUCAAGGACCAAUGAUAGACCUGCUGCUCUAACCUAGGCCUGCUGAGGAGUACAAUUCAACCUGUGUUUCUGUGUGGUUCAGCAAUCUUGCUGAGCUCCUCUAAGUCAGUCCAUCCUGCCACAGCUGGGAAGAAUCAAGAAACUCUCCAAGAAGACGUUUAUUGGUUGAUAAAAAUCUGUUUAUCUGCCUGUUGCCAAUGAGAAGACAGGUCUGCUGACCAUGGCAGGCAUGGCAGCACGUGACACCGUGUUUGCUGCUCACUGCAUGUUCCACCUGAACUUUCCCGUCCGGUCAAUGAGUCUUGACAGUGGGGUGAAGGGGACUCACUCUCAAAGACCAAGGCUGACCCGCUUUGAGUACAAUGCCUUGACCUAGUUACUGUCACUGUGGUUUUGUCUUCAGGAACUAAAAGGUACAAUAAAAACUUGUUCAUUUAAUUGUCCUGUUGAUGUACAAAAUACUUAAAUGCUUCUACAUAGGUCUGCUCUUCUGCGCCACAGAGCACUAAGGGAAAGUCCCCACAAUACACAUGCCUUUCACCUGAGCUGCUACGUGUGACAGUUGAGCAACUAAAGGUUAAAAAAAAAAAAAAAGCUCCCCAAAUGCUGUGGGUGUGACAGCUGGUCCAGCUUCACAGUCUGUACUUUCCCUCUCUAACAGCAUGGAAAAAUACAGAGAUAGCUAGCAACUGAUGCCCUAGUGUGCCUAGCCAUCGAUGAAUCUGUGUGAUUAGAAACCAGCAUUUAACCAUACCCCAGAUACAUUAAAAAUCAACCCCACACUGGUAGACUGUAAUGCCACUUUGCUUCCAGAUGGCAGUUACAAUUGGCAAGGAAAUACCUAGUUUACAGGAGGCAUUGCUACUUAUGUUGUUGCAGAAAUUGAACCCUUAGAAGAAUGUAUUCUGGACUUUCUGACCUGGUUACUAACAAACAGUGAACAAUAUCUAAGAAUACACUUGGAACAGAAAUGUGAGAAACCAAAAGUAAGAGAUAUUAUGAAGAAUCAAAUUUAAAAUGACACACUGCUAAAGAGGCAACAAAGAAAAUUGUAGAAUAAGAAAAUGACAAGAAGCACUAUGUCUUAGUGCAUUUGUGCUACUGUAUAGCGAAAUACACUAGACUGGGUAAUUUCUAAAGAACAGAAAUGUAUUUCCCACAGUUCCAUAGGCUGGAAGUCCAAGAUCAAGAUGCCAGCAGGAGUGGUGUCUGGUGACGGCCUGGUCUCUGCAUCCAAGAUGGCGCCUUGAGCACUGUGUCUUCAGGAGGGGAUGCACUGUGUCCUCACAUGGCAGAAGGCAGAAGGGCAAAACAGGGGAAGCCCACUCCCUCUAGCCCUUGUGUAAGGACCCUAAAUCCACUCAUGAAGACUCUCCCUUCAUGACUGAAUCACUUCCUAACAGCCCUACUUCCUAAUACUAUGACAUUGGUGAUGAAUUGUAGAAGGA